UGGCGAUGAUGAAUAAAAGGCCGGAUUGCUGCCAUUUACUGGCAGUAGAAUGAUGAACUUCAUUGUUUAGGGUUUUCUGAGCCAA